GGUUGUGGCUAAGUGGUAGAGUACUCUCCUUUCACGUGUGAGGCACUGGGUUCGAUCCUCAGCACCA
rnacentral:tRNA from 1 species